AAACAUAUACAACUCUUCACAUCCAAAAGCAAUGUCGCCACCAGGGAAGCCCAGCACAACCAAGCUUCCAAAAACUCCCAAAAAAUAACAAUGUUAAGACAAGGAAAGACUGAGAAGCUGAUGAGCAACCAUCUGCAAGUGUUGCGCCAUUGCCUGAGCUUUGAUCAACUCGGCAAAAAAGAAUGAUCAGACCAAAAUUACAUCUACUUCUCCAUUGCACUACUACUAUAAACUACACUUUAUGUUAUGUACCUACGUAUUUCUAGAACUUAAGACAUUCUACUCGGUCUGCUUAUACCAGCUGACCAACUACCUAUUAUAUUGAUAACCUUAUUUAAACCAUCAAUUA